UUUUAUAUAGUUUACUAUUAAAACAUUAUAUUUUCAAUAUAAAAUUUUUCUUUUAAAGAAAUAUAAAUA
rnacentral:tRNA from 1 species